CAGCCGCCACGGUAAUACGAAGGGGGCUAGCGUUGCUCGGAAUGACUGGGCGUAAAGGGCGCGUAGGCGGUUUUGACAGUCAGAUGUGAAAUUCCUGGGCUUAACCUGGGGGCUGCAUUUGAGACGUCAAGACUAGAGUGUGGGAGAGGGUUGUGGAAUUCCCAGUGUAGAGGUGAAAUUCGUAGAUAUUGGGAAGAACACCGGUGGCGAAGGCGGCAACCUGGCUCAUUACUGACGCUGAGGCGCGAAAGCGUGGGGAGCAAACAGGAUUAGAUACCCCCGUAGUCCCUGUCUCUUAUAC
rnacentral:rRNA from 1 species